rnacentral:miRNA from 1 species
ACUGAAUCUCAGAACUACAGUU